AAAGGGAGAAAGAGAGAGAGAGAGAGAGAGAGAGAGAUUGUAUCAGGAUGGGAUGGAAGAACUGAAUAGGACUAAUGUCUCUUUUUCUUACAAAAGUGGAGAAAAUUUCUUAUGUGUUUUUAAUUAGAAAUAUUUUCUCUCUCUCUCUCUCUCUCUCUCUCUCUCUCUCUCUCU
rnacentral:miRNA from 1 species